rnacentral:rRNA from 1 species
UACGUAGGGGGCAAGCGUUGUCCGGAAUUAUUGGGCGUAAAGCGCUUGUAGGCGGUUCGGUACGUCUGCUGUGAAAGUCCAGGGCUCAACCCUGGAAUGCCGGUGGAUACUGUCGAGCUCGAGUCCGGAAGAGGCGAGUGGAAUUCCUGGUGUAGCGGUGAAAUGCGCAGAUAUCAGGAGGAACACCGGUGGCGAAGGCGGGUCUCUGGGCCGUAACUGACGCUGAGGAGCGAAAGCGUGGGGAGCGAACAGG